CACACAAACCCUGACCCCUCCAAUUGGGGACACUUCAUCUACCCAGAGGGUCUACCAAAAGACCUGGACAGGUUACUCACACUCACUGCCUCAAAAAGGACUUUUUCAAUUCUUCCUGGUGUAAACAAUUUCAUAAACCUUUUAAUUCUAACCAAACUUUAUGUAGCGCGGAAUCCGCAAUGUGGUGUUUAUCUUGGCUACAACAUAAUGGGGCUUUUCUACUAAAUUAUUCCGCCACAUGGGGAACAGCGAGCACAUGCGCAUGAGGGUUGCCUUAAACAUUGUUCAGUCGGAUGUCAACCAGUACUGUGGGUUCAUUAACAACAAGACUAAAUUUGUUUGGCGAGUUAUCACAUCCUGCAAUGACAAGGAUUCCGUGAGCAAGGGCAGCAUAUAAUACAUUCAGUUUGCUGCAUUCGAAUCACUUUAGAUGCUCCACUUUUUGAUUCAGUGACUUGUCACUAUGUAUAAUGUUCGAACAAGUUACUGUUGCAUUUUAGUAAAUAUGUAGUACGAUGUAAGAAUGGCCAACUUGCAUUUGGUGUAGUGCAUUUUAAGUUGGUCUAUAAAACUAAAUUAAGGAUUUUUUGUUGCAACUAAAACAUGGCCAUACAUGUGUGUAGUGGGUGGCCAAAUUUUAGUUGCCUUACUUAGGGAACCCAUGUAAUUCAUCCCAGCUGU